AGAGCGACCACCGAGCAACACCGCGCCAGGACAACACAGCACAACAAACAACAUGCGGCUACUUCUCUGCAUCGCUGGCGGAACACAGCUUCUCGCCCUCCACUACACAGCGACCUACACUGGCAUCUAUUACCGUUCCUGAAACUACGGAACACAGAGCGCCGCUGCGAGGCCGCGGGGUGACCCCGGAAGCCGGAACAGUGGCGCUCCUGGCGGCGAGGGGCGAAGCUCGCGAGGGCGCCAGGGGAACAUCGCCCCCGGGCCCCACGCGACCUGCGGGAGACCAGUGGAGCGGAGAAACCGCGGCAACCAUAGAUAUAUACACACACAAGUGCGACGACUCCUUAACAGUGGAAACUGACACCCUGUCUUGCGCGACAUCUGUUGGGCGGGCCCAUAACUACUAGCAAAAAAAACUCGGACGGGAGGUUCAAAUAAAAAUUGUUACUUUUA